rnacentral:rRNA from 1 species
AUUGAACGCUGGCGGCAUGCUUUACACAUGCAAGUCGAACGGUAACAGGUUAAGCUGACGAGUGGCGAACGGGUGAGUAAUGCAUCGGAACGUGCCCGAUCGUGGGGGAUAACGCAGCGAAAGCUGCGCUAAUACCGCAUACGAUCUGAGGAUGAAAGCGGGGGACCGUAAGGCCUCGCGCGAUCGGAGCGGCCGAUGUCAGAUUAGGUAGUUGGCGGGGUAAAGGCUCACCAAGCCAACGAUCUGUAGCUGGUCUGAGAGGACGACCAGCCACACUGGGACUGAGACACGGCCCAGACUCCUACGGGGGGCAGCAGUGGGGAAUUUUGGACAAUGGGCGAAAGCCUGAUCCAGCAAUGCCGCGUGCAGGAAGAAGGCCUUCGGGUUGUAAACUGCUUUUGUACGGAGCGAAAAGGCUCUCUCUAAUACAGGGGGCUCAUGACGGUACCGUAAGAAUAAGCACCGGCUAACUACGUGCCAGCCGCCGCAGUAA